AGCGUGUGGUUUAAUUCGAUGUUACACGAAGAACCUUACCAGGGUUUGACAUGUAGGUGGUAGUGAAGCGAAAGCGGAACGACUCUUCGGAGAGCCUGCACAGGUGCUGCAUGGCUGUCGUCAGCUCGUGUCGUGAGAUGUUCGGUUAAGUCCGCUAACGAGCGCAACCCCUGCUGUGUGUUACAAGUGUCACACGGGACUGCCGGUCUUAAGCCGGAGGAAGGUGGGGAUGACGUCAAGUCAGCAUGGCCUUUAUAUCCUGGGCUACACACACGCUACAAUGGGUGGUACAGCAGGUUGCGAAACCGCGAGGUGGAGCCAAUCCUCAAAGCCAUCCUCAGUUCAGAUUGCAGGCUGCAACUCGCCUGCAUGAAGAUGGAGUUGCUAGUAACCGCAGGUCAGCUAUACUGCGGUGAAUACGUUCCCGGGCCUUGUACACACCGCCCGUCACGUCAUGGGAGCUGGCAACACCUGAAGCCAGUAGCCUAACCGCAAGGAGGGCGCUGUCGAAGGUGGGGCUGGUAACUGGGACG
rnacentral:rRNA from 1 species